rnacentral:rRNA from 1 species
UACGUAGGUGGCAAGCGUUGUCCGGAAUUAUUGGGCGUAAAGCGCGCGCAGGCGGUCCUUUAAGUCUGAUGUGAAAGCCCACGGCUCAACCGUGGAGGGUCAUUGGAAACUGGGGGACUUGAGUACAGAAGAGAAGAGUGGAAUUCCUGGUGUAGCGGUGAAAUGCGCAGAUAUCUGGAGGAACACCGGUGGCGAAGGCGACAUCCUGGACCGGUAUUGACGCUGAGUGAGCGAAAGCCAGGGGAGCAAACAGG